GAUGAACGCUGGCGGCGUGCCUAAUACAUGCAAGUCGAGCGAACGGACGAGAAGCUUGCUUUUCUGAUGUUAGCGGCGGACGGGUGAGUAACACGUGGAUAACCUACCUAUAAGACUGGGAUAACUUCGGGAAACCGGAGCUAAUACCGGAUAAUAUUUUGAACCGCAUGGUUCAAAAGUGAAAGACGGUCUUGCUGUCACUUAUAGAUGGAUCCGCGCUGCAUUAGCUAGUUGGUAAGGUAACGGCUUACCAAGGCAACGAUGCAUAGCCGACCUGAGAGGGUGAUCGGCCACACUGGAACUGAGACACGGUCCAGACUCCUACGGGAGGCAGCAGUAGGGAAUCUUCCGCAAUGGGCGAAAGCCUGACGGAGCAACGCCGCGUGAGUGAUGAAGGUCUUCGGAUCGUAAAACUCUGUUAUUAGGGAAGAACAUAUGUGUAAGUAACUGUGCACAUCUUGACGGUACCUAAUCAGAAAGCCACGGCUAACUACGUGCCAGCAGCCGCGGUAAUACGUAGGUGGCAAGCGUUAUCCGGAAUUAUUGGGCGUAAAGCGCGCGUAGGCGGUUUUUUAAGUCUGAUGUGAAAGCCCACGGCUCAACCGUGGAGGGUCAUUGGAAACUGGAAAACUUGAGUGCAGAAGAGGAAAGUGGAAUUCCAUGUGUAGCGGUGAAAUGCGCAGAGAUAUGGAGGAACACCAGUGGCGAAGGCGACUUUCUGGUCUGUAACUGACGCUGAUGUGCGAAAGCGUGGGGAUCAAACAGGAUUAGAUACCCUGGUAGUCCACGCCGUAAACGAUGAGUGCUAAGUGUUAGGGGGUUUCCGCCCCUUAGUGCUGCAGCUAACGCAUUAAGCACUCCGCCUGGGGAGUACGACCGCAAGGUUGAAACUCAAAGGAAUUGACGGGGACCCGCACAAGCGGUGGAGCAUGUGGUUUAAUUCGAAGCAACGCGAAGAACCUUACCAAAUCUUGACAUCCUUUGACAACUCUAGAGAUAGAGCUUUCCCCUUCGGGGGACAAAGUGACAGGUGGUGCAUGGUUGUCGUCAGCUCGUGUCGUGAGAUGUUGGGUUAAGUCCCGCAACGAGCGCAACCCUUAAGCUUAGUUGCCAUCAUUAAGUUGGGCACUCUAAGUUGACUGCCGGUGACAAACCGGAGGAAGGUGGGGAUGACGUCAAAUCAUCAUGCCCCUUAUGAUUUGGGCAACACACGUGCUACAAUGGACAAUACAAAGGGCAGCGAAACCGUGAGGUCAAGCAAAUCCCAUAAAGUUGUUCUCAGUUCGGAUUGUAGUCUGCAACUCGACUACAUGAAGCUGGAAUCGCUAGUAAUCGUAGAUCAGCAUGCUACGGUGAAUACGUUCCCGGGUCU
rnacentral:rRNA from 1 species